GCGUUUGGCGCAUGCGCACUUUCAGUUUCCAAAUCAAUGGACAGGGCGAAGACGGGACCAGGGUAAUUUUGUCGAAAUCAUCUUGUUAUAUGUUCACAGAAGUUUCCUUAAUAUGUAUAGACGUUUGUUGUCCGUAGGCAGCAAGUUCUGCAGAAUGUGGUACCCCUGUGACGCGCAAAGAUGUGGCGGUCCUGAGGCGCAUAUUUGGUGUCCAGAAUAUUGAAAAGGACAUCAUAUGUGUGGACAACCGCAGGAUUUAUCACCUCAACCACAUCCACAGGAAGAAGAACCAGCCCACAGAGCUGCUGUCCUUCCCUUACUGAGAGGAACAACAAAACAGCUCACUGAAAACAACAGCUGGCCACAAGAGGAACCUGCCAUUAAUCAACCCAUUACAGAGCAACAUUUCAAACAAAGCUUAAAAAAGAAUAAAUAAAAAUAAAAUGUACAUACUAUCAAAUGGCAUUAAAUACUAAAAUAGCCUUCUACCUUAA